CCUGCUCCUGCAAUAGAUGUUACAUAAAUUAAAAAGAAAAGAAAUGACAAAUGGGUAUGGAUUGGCUAAAGAGGAAGACAUUUUAGGGGAAAGGUUACUUCAUGAUGCUGAUGCUGACUUAGAGUUUUGGCUAAUUAUAGUAUUUCUGUUGCAGAAAAAGUAAAGAAAUUCCUUAGGUAAGAUGUCUUCAAAGUUCAUAUAGUCAAUUGAGGACUGAAGCACACUCCCUGGCGACGAUCGUCGAAAUGACCAAACAAAACAAACUCUACUUCUCUCAAGCGCUUGUGCAAUCUCCUCCACCUGAUCCUUCUCGAAAGCUCCCCUGCUUCCAAAGCACAAGAACACAACAGAUGAAAGUGGUUGAUCAUCAAGCCACUUCAACACAUCUACAUGAUCCAUAGUCUCAGUGUUCUUGUUCAAGUGCAAAAUAGGUCCAACAGGAUACAAAGGUGGGAGUUGCAAAGAGGAGUUAGUUGACAAGGAACAUAUCACAUGUGAUUCCAACUCCUCAAGUGUAUUCAUAAGAAUACCUUUUACAUCAGAUCUAGUUCUUUUAACUUGUUCAUGGAACCAAACAGCAUUAUUGUUAAUAAAGAGGAUACUAGGAAUGACUUUACUUGGAA